GAAAAAGCAGAUGCUUGUUGGUAUUUUCUUAAGCAAGCUUCACGUUCACUUUAGGUAUAACAUACUCAUUGUUAUUGGGUGAACCUUUGCAGAUUAUGUUUUCAUUGCAUAAGGUUCAAGAAAUAAUGAGACAUUU